AUCCGCGCCUCUUCGAGGUGGCCCUCUGGUCCGGCUUUAGAACUCUGCGGUUUUGUGGAGCUCGAGAGUCCGGGACAAGGUAGACGCAGGAUAUUGACCUUUUUAUUUUUAACUGCAUUUUCAGUUUGGAGGUUGUAAAAUAGGUAUAACAUUUAAGAAAAAAAAUUGAAAGCAAUAUUUCACAAAGCCCCUGACUCAUUGACUGUGAGCAGCCUUGUGGAAGAAUGCCUUGAAGACCAUAAGCAGGAUAGGGAAUAGGUUUGCACAUCUCUUGCCUGAAUCACUGAAUUUUUACAAAAGGUAAGUUUGGUGAUCCUAGCCCUUGCCUCUUCCUGUACAUAAGAUAAUGUCUGACAAGAUUAAUGAUUAUGCCUCAAAUUCAUGACCAGAUGUAACUUCAUACCCACACUUUGAUGAGACUUUACUUGUAUUAACCCAUUUUCAUACUGCUAUGAAGAAAUACCCAAGACUGCAUAAUUUCUAAAGAAAAAGGCUUAGUGGACUCACAGUUCCACAUGGCUGGGGAAGCCUCACAAUCAUGGUAGAAGAUGAAGAAGGAGCAAAGGCACAUCUUACAUGGCAGCAGGUGAGAGAGCAUGUGCAGAGGAACUACCCUUUAUAAAACCAUCAGAGGCCAGGUGCAGUGGCUCACACCUGUAAUCCUAGCACUUUGGGAGGCCGAGGCAGGCAGAUCAUCUGAGGUCAGGCAUUCAAGACCAGCCUGGCCAACAUGGCAAAACCCCAUGUUUCAAAAUUAGCUCAG
rnacentral:lncRNA from 10 species